UGGGGAAUUUUGGACAAUGGGCGCAAGCCUGAUCCAGCAAUGCCGCGUGCAGGAUGAAGGCCUUCGGGUUGUAAACUGCUUUUGUACGGAACGAAAAGCCUCUCUCUAAUACAGGGGGUGAUGACGGUACCGUAAGAAUAAGCACCGGCUAACUACGUGCCAGCAGCCGCGGUAAUACGUAGGGUGCAAGCGUUAAUCGGAAUUACUGGGCGUAAAGCGUGCGCAGGCGGUUUUGUAAGACAGUGGUGAAAUCCCCGGGCUCAACCUGGGAACUGCCAUUGUGACUGCAAGGCUGGAGUGCGGCAGAGGGGGAUGGAAUUCCGCGUGUAGCAGUGAAAUGCGUAGAUAUGCGGAGGAACACCGAUGGCGAAGGCAAUCCCCUGGGCCUGCACUGACGCUCAUGCACGAAAGCGUGGGGAGCAAACAGGAUUAGAUACCCCUGGUAGUCCACGCCCUAAACGAUGUCAACUGGUUGUUGGGGAUUUAUUUCUUCAGUAACGAAGCUAACGCGUGAAGUUGACCGCCUGGGGGAGUACGGCCGCAAGGUU
rnacentral:rRNA from 1 species